CUUUUCUAGGGCCGCACCUGCAGCAUAUGGAGGUUCCCAGGCUACAGGUCUAAUCAGAGCUACAGCUGCCAGCCUACAUCAGAGCCACAGCAACAUGGGAUCCGAGCCACGUCUGCGACCUACACCACAGCUCAUGGCAACACCGGAUCCUCAACCCACUGAGCGAGGCCAGGAAUUGAACCUCAUGGAUCCUAGUUGGAUUCGUUAACAAAUGAGCCAUGAGGGGAACUCCGAAUCAUAACUAAAUUCUGAAAAAUUUAUUGAAGUCCAAAUUACUAGCAGAGGUAGUUGCUAUUUGACAAUGGGAUAACCGUAAAAUAUCUAAGUCAACCAUUGUCUAUCCAUUUGAUAGAAUAAUAUGCACAAUUUAAAACUAUUUAUGAAGAUUUUGUGAAGAUAUGGGAACACACAUGAUACAAUGUUGAAUUUAAAAAGCUUGAUUCAAGAAUCUUACAUACAGCAUGAUCUAACUAGUUAAAAAAAAAUGCCUGAAGACAUGCAAUGUACAAAGAAAUGACCAAAACAUUAAGUGACUCCAAGUAACGGAAUAAUAAGAAAAUUAUUAAUUUUAUUUUUAUGGUUUUUGUUUUUUACUAUGGCUGCACCUGCAGCAUAUGGAAAUUCCUGAGCCAGGGACUGAAUCCAAGCCACAGCUGUGACCUACACCACAGCUGCAGUGAUGCCAGAUCCUUUAAUCCACUGUGCUGGGCCAGGGAUCAAACCUGCACCUUCAGAGCAGCCUGAGCCACUGCAGUUUGAUUCUCGACCCACUGGGCCACAGGAGGAGCUCCUAUUUUUAUGCUUUUUGAUGAUUUUCUAAAAUCCUUAUGUAUGUAUUACUUGUGUACCAAGGUAGUAGACACUGAAAAAAGUACAGAGCAGAGGUUGUCAGUUAUUUGGGAGUCACAGAUUCCCUGGUAAACCUGCUGGAUGCUAUCUAUGAUUCCUAUUUCAAAUUUUGCCUCCAAGUUCUGCAUGCUCUGAAACCUAAGAACGCCAUGUGAAGAUGAAGGCAGAGAUCAAGUGAUGUUUCUGCAAGCCAAGGAAUGCUGAAGAUUGCCAGCAAACCACCACAAGCUAGAAGAGAAGCAUGGAACAGAUUCUUCCCCACAGCUCUCAGGAGGAAGCAACCCUGCUGACCCUGAUCUUGGAGUUCUAGCCUCCAAAACAGUAAGAGAAUAAAUUUCUCCUUUAUAAAUCAUCCAAUUUGUGGUAUUUUGCAGCAGGGGUCCUGGCAAACCAAUAUACUUGCAUGGAGAGGAUAACAUCACACAUUCAGUUUUGAACAUGUCAUGACAGAAACAAGUAAAUCUGGAUGGAAAUACGCAUUGAGCAACUGGAUCUGCUCCAUGAGGAAGCCAAGGAAGAGAAGCUGAGGCUCUAACCUAGACACAGAAGAAGUUUCCAGAAAAAAUGUGCAGUCAGCUAGGUCAGAUGCUUCAAGAGAGCAACUAAAAUAGGAAGGAAAUGCAAAAUGGCACUGCUGCUGUGGAAAAGAGAAUAGCGGUUCCUCAAAAAACUGAAAAUAGGGAGUUCCCGUCGUGGCGCAGUGGUUAACGAAUCCGACUAGGAACCAUGAGGUUGCGGGUUCGGUCUCUGCCCUUGCUCAGUGGGUUAAGGGUCCGGCGUUGCCGUGAGCUGUGGUGUAUGUCACAGACGCGGCUCGGAUCCCGUGUUACUGUGGCUCUGGUGUAGGCCAGUGGCUACAGCUCCGAUUCGACCCCUAGCCUGGGAACCUCCAAGUGCCGCGGGAGCGGCCCAAGAAACAGCAAAAACACAAAAAAAAAAAAAAAAAAAAAUGAAAAUAGGAUCGCUACAUGAUCCAGCAAUCCCGUUGCUGGGUAUCUGUCCAAAAAGAAUUGAAACCAGGAUCUCGAAGAGGUAUCUGCACUCCCGGGUUCUCUGCAGCAUUAUUUACAACAGCCAAGAAAGACACGGGAAGGCUCUCAACGUGCCCUGACGGCUGAAUGGAUAAAGAAAUGUGAUACACACAUAUAAUCAAUUCCCACUCAGCUUUAAAAAAGGAGGAGGGAGUUCCGGUUGUGGCUCAGCGGAAAAGAAUCUGACUGGCAUCCAUGAAGAUGCAGGUUCAAUUCCCUGGCCUCACUCAGUGAGUUAAGGAUCCGGCGUUGCCAUGAGCUGUGGUGUAGGCUGGCAGCUACAGCUCUGAUUUGACCCCUAGCCUGGAAACCUCCAUGUGCCAUGGGUGCAGCCCUUAAGAGCCAAAAAAAAAAAAAAAGAUAGAGGACAGCAUAGACGGACCUGCAAGUCAUUACACCAAGUGAAUAAGCCUGUCACAGAAGGACAAAUACUGCAUGAGUCCACUUAUACGAGGUAUCUAAAACAGUCAAAUUCAUAGAAAGAGAGUAGAAUGGUGGUUGCCAGGAGCCAGCGGGGAGAGAGAAAUGGGCAGCGGCUAUUCAACGGUAUAAAGUUUCAGUUAUGCAAGAUGAAUAAGCUCCAGAUAUUUGCUACACAGCAUUGUGCUCGUGGUGCACAAUACUGUAUUGUGUGUUUAAAAUUGGUUAAAAGGGUAAUUCUCAUGUUAAGUGUUCUUACCACGAUCUAAAAAAGCAAGAAAGUAACACCCUAGGAAGAAUCUUUAAAAAGAGAAUUGAGGAGUUCCCGUCAUGGCACAGUGGUUAACGAAUCCGACUAGGAACCAUGAGGUUGCGGUUUCGGUCCCUGCCCUUGCUCAGUGGGUUAAGGAUCCGGUGUUGCAGUGAGCUGUGGUGUAGGUUGCAGACGCGGCUCGGAUGCUUCGUUGCUGUGGCUCUGGCGUAGGCCGGUGGCUACAGCUCCAAUUCGACCCUUAGCCUGGGAACCUCCAUAUGCCGAGGGAGUGGCCCAAAGAAAUAGCAAAGACAAAAAAAAAAAAGAGAAUUGAGAAACUGGGCCGCAUAGAAGUUCCUAGAAAACAUGGAAAAUCAGUUUCUGACCUAGGAAGAAACUCAGAAUUUUUUUUUUAACUUUCCCUCUGUCGUACUUUGCUCCCUAUCUGUUUCUCUAUAGUUUCUUGAGUUAAACUUAAAAUCCUAAAAUAAAUAACCGUUCUAAAAAAAUGUUAUUGCAGUACAGUUGACUUACAAUAUUGUGUCAGUUUCAGGUGCACAGCAAAGUGAGUCAAUUAUACAUAUACACAUUACUAUUUUUCAGGUUCUUUUCCCAUAUAGGUUAUUAUAAAAUAUUGAGUAGAUUUCCCUGUGCUAUACAGUAGGCCCUCAUUAGUUAUCUAUUUUAUAUAUAGUAGUGUUUAUAUGUCAAUCUCAAACUCCUAAUUUAUCCCUCCCCCACCUUUCCCCUUUGAUAACCAUAAAUUUGAUUUUGAAAUCUAUGAGUCUGCUUGUUUUAUAAAUAAGUUCUUUUGUAUCAUUUCAAUUAGAUUCCACAUAUAAGUGGUAUCAAAUGAUAUUUGUCUUUGUCUGACUUCACUGAGUAUAAUAAUCCAGUUCUAUCCAUGUUGCUGCAAAUGGCAUUAUGUCAUUCUUCUUAAUGGCUGAGUAGUAUUCCAUGGUAUAUGCGUACCACAUCUUCUUUAUCUAUUCCUCUAUCAAUGGACAUUUAGAUUGCUUCCAUGUCUUGGCUAUUGUAAAUAGUGCUGCAAUAAAAAUUAGGGUGCGUGUAUCUUUUAGAAUUCUGGUUUGUCCAGAUAU
ensembl:lncRNA